GGAGAGGUGGCCGAGCGGCCUAAGGUGCUUGCCUGCUAAGCAAGUGAGGGUGUUUGCCCUCCGAGGGUUCGAAUCCCUCCCUCUCCGCCA
rnacentral:tRNA from 3 species